rnacentral:rRNA from 1 species
UACGGAGGGUGCAAGCGUUGUCCGGAUUUAUUGGGUUUAAAGGGUGCGUAGGCGGCUUUUUAAGUCAGAGGUGAAAGACGGUUGCUCAACAAUCGCAGUGCCUUUGAUACUGGAGAGCUUGAGUACAGUUGAGGUAGGCGGAAUGCAGGGUGUAGCGGUGAAAUGCAUAGAUACCCUGCAGAACACCGAUUGCGAAGGCAGCUUACUAAGUUGUUACUGACGCUGAGGCACGAAAGCGUGGGGAUCAAACAGG